UUCAAAGAACUUGAGGCAUGCCUGUAGGUAGAUCUUGGAAUUUGGAGCUAAAUAAGUAAUGGCAAUGGCGACCGAAGACGUGAGGAAGUUGUGAAUCAUAUUUGGAAAUUCAAGCUUGAGCCGAGAGAUAAGUAAUCGAUUCAAGUGCAUCGUUCAGCACAUCGAGACUAGUUACAAUGUAGGUAAUGGCAUCUCUUAGACUUCCACUCUGAGCUGCUUCGUUGUAUAAAGGUCAUGUUGUGUCAAAUAGUCAGACUUAUAAAGAUUAAUAGUCUAUCAGGAUUGUAUUAGCUAAAACUUGAGGUUGUGUAAUGAAUAUCACUUGUGAUGUUGAAAUUGCUUCGGAGUUGUUAAAUCUGGUUUUUGGUAUCUAGAUGCUACGUUUUAAAUAUUUUGUUUAUUUGGUUUAAGUAAACGAUAGUUUUAGUGAUGUCAGUUGAUUUUAUAUU